AUGGCAGAAAAUGGUGAUAAUGAAAAAAUGGCUGCUCUGGAGGCCAAAAUCUGUCAUCAAAUCGAGUAUUAUUUUGGUGACUUCAAUUUGCCACGCGACAAAUUUUUAAAGGAAUAGAUCAAACUGGAUGAAGUCUGGGUACCUUUGGAGAUAAUGAUAAAAUUUAAUAGGUUAAACCGUCUAACAACAGACUUUAAUGUAAUAGUAGAAGCAUUGAGCAAAUCAAAGGUGGAACUUAUGGAAAAAAGUGAAGAUAAAACUAAAAUCAGAAGAUCUCCAAGCAAACCCCUCCCUGAAGUGACUGAUGAGUAUAAAAAUGAGGUAAAAAAACAGAUCUGUUUAUAUUAAAGGCUUCCCAAUUGAUGCAACCCUUGAUGACAUAAAAUAAUGGUUGGAAGAUAAAGGUCAGGUACUAAAUAUUCAGAUGAGAAGAACACUGCACAAAGCAUUUAAGAGAUCAGUAUUUGCUGCAUUUGAUACCAUUGAAUCUGCUAAGAAGUUUGUCGAGACCCCUGGCCAGAAGUACAAAGACACAGACCUGCUAAUACUUUUCAAGGAAGAUUACUUUGCAAAAAAAAAUGAAGAAAGAAAGCAAAAUAAAAUCGAAGCUAAAUUAUGAGCUAAACAAGAGCAAGAAGAAAAACAAAAGCAGAAAAUGCUGAAAUGAAAUCUCUAGAAGAAAAGAUUGGCUGCUUGCUGAAAUUCUCGGGGGACUUAGAUGAUCAGACGUGUAGAGAAGAUUUGCAUAUCCUUUUCUCAAAUCAUGGUGAAAUAAAAUGGAUAGACUUUGUCAGAGGAGCCAAAGGGAAUAAUUCUGUUUAAAGAAAAAGCUAAGGAAGCACUGGAUAAAGCAAAAGACGCAAAUAAUGGUAACCUAACAAUUAAGGAACAAAGAGGUCACCUGGGAAGUACUCGAAGGUGAUGUGGAAAAAGAAGCGUUGAAAAAAAUAAUAGAAGAUCAACAAGAAUCCCUAAACAAAUGGAAAUCAAAAGGUCGCAGAUUUAAAGGAAAAGGAAAGGGAAAUAAAGCUGCCCAGAUUGCGUCUGCUAAAGGAAAAGUACAGUUUCAGGGCAAGAAAACUAAAUUUGACAGUGAUGAAGAACAUGAUGAAAAUGGUGCAUCUAGACCAGUAAAAAGAGCAAGAGAAGAAACAGACAAAGAAGAACCUGCAUCAAAACAGCAGAAAACAGUUAGAGGUCCGGCUUCGCUGACUGUCAGCCUCAAGGUGGUCCUCGAGGCGGAGAGCGCGGGCGAUUCGCCCCGCGGGAGGAUCCCGGGCUGGGAGGGGCCGGCCAGGCAGCCAGGAGCUGAGCGCGAGUCAAUGCCGGUUGCGCGGCCGAGCGGAGCCGGGCAGCAGAAGCCGCCCGAGCGGCAGCGGCGGUGGCGGCGGCGGCGGGACCGGCAGCAGCAGCAGCAGCUACAAGCUCCCUGUGCCGCGGCGCUGCGGCACAAACCCCACGAGCUGCCCACCCCUCCGCCCUCCGUGCUGCCUGACCCCGCCGGCGUGUCCGUCAGCCGCCAGCCCCCGGCAGCGCCCCCAGUCGUCCUCCGACUCGCCCUCGGCCUUCCGCGUCAGCCGCAGCCGCAACGCCACCCGCAGCCUCAGCCCCAGCCGUAG